UACAGAGGGUGCGAGCGUUAAUCGGAAUUACUGGGCGUAAAGGGCGCGUAGGCGGAUGAAUAAGUUGGGUGUGAAAGUCCUGGGCUUAACCUGGGGAUUGCAUUCAAUACUGUUUGUCUGGAGUGAAGUAGAGGGUGGCGGAAUUUCCGGUGUAGCGGUGAAAUGCGUAGAUAUCGGAAAGAACACCAGUGGCGAAGGCGGCCACCUGGACUUUAACUGACGCUGAGGCGCGAAAGCGUGGGGAGCAAACAGG
rnacentral:rRNA from 1 species